rnacentral:rRNA from 1 species
CUGCAAGUCGAACGAUGAUCCCCAGGCUUGCUGGGGGGAUUAGUGGCGAACGGGUGAGUAACACGUGAGUAACCUGCCCUUGACUCUGGGAUAAGCCUGGGAAACUGGGUCUAAUACCGGAUAUGACCAUUCCGCGCAUGCGGUGGUGGUGGAAAGCUUUUGCGGUUUUGGAUGGACUCGCGGCCUAUCAGCUUGUUGGUGGGGUAAUGGCCUACCAAGGCGACGACGGGUAGCCGGCCUGAGAGGGUGACCGGCCACACUGGGACUGAGACACGGCCCAGACUCCUACGGGAGGCAGCAGUGGGGAAUAUUGCACAAUGGGCGAAAGCCUGAUGCAGCGACGCCGCGUGAGGGAUGACGGCCUUCGGGUUGUAAACCUCUUUCAGUAGGGAAGAAGCGAAAGUGACGGUACCUGCAGAAGAAGCGCCGGCUAACUACGUGCCAGCAGCCGCGGUAAUACGUAGGGCGCAAGCGUUAUCCGGAAUUAUUGGGCGUAAAGAGCUCGUAGGCGGUUUGUCGCGUCUGCUGUGAAAGACCGGGGCUCAACUCCGGUUCUGCAGUGGGUACGGGCAGACUAGAGUGAUGUAGGGGAGACUGGAAUUCCUGGUGUAGCGGUGAAAUGCGCAGAUAUCAGGAGGAACACCGAUGGCGAAGGCAGGUCUCUGGGCAUUAACUGACGCUGAGGAGCGAAAGCAUGGGGAGCGAACAGGAUUAGAUACCCUGGUAGUCCAUGCCGUAAACGUUGGGCACUAGGUGUGGGGGACAUUCCACGUUUUCCGCGCCGUAGCUAACGCAUUAAGUGCCCCGCCUGGGGAGUACGGC